UCAACAGAAAAAAAAAUCUUUAUUCCUUCCAAACUAAAUUUCCAACAAAACAUCCAGUAUUACCCAUAAAAAUCUAUGUUAAAACUACAUUCAGCACAUAAAAUAAUUAACAUAUAAAAUAUUUCCCACCCCACUCCACCCCGUUUCAUAAGGUUCAUAAUUUUGAAGAAGAAAAAAAUGUGCACAAGCCAUACAGCUGAUUUGAGAAAGAUGUAAACUUAUUUGUAUACAAGCAAACAAAUAAUCCACAUUAUUUGAAUUAAAUAUGAACAGCCUAAAUGUAUGCACACAUUAAUAUUCACAAAGACAUGUUUAGAUUUUAGAUUUUUAAACCAUUUUUAUGUACAUAUCCCAUAUAAAUACAUUGUGUCAUGACAGUGAUUAGUGCCUAAAUGAGUUAGCCCUAGACUACAAAAUAUAACUAAAUAGUCUUGAUUUAGGAUAUCCUACAACUAGGAUAGAGCACACUACACCUACAUUAUUCUUGUCAUACCCGCAUUCAGUACAUGUGGAUACAUUAUUCAUUUAGACAUGAAAAAAGAUUUAUAAGCAAUUGUGUAAAUCACUACAGAUAAUGUCAACAGGAGACAUUAAACAUGUGCAAGCAUAUGCGUUAUUCAGGUUUAUUAAGGUCUUUAAUUACCAUCACUUCAAUUUAAAUAUCCUUCUCUGCCAGCAUUACUUAUAUUACACUUGAAGCACCGAUCUUCUUACAAUUCAGAGUAUGUAGUACAUUUGAAAUAUUACCACCUAGUGGUGUUUCUUCAUGGUACAUCCUAUCUGGGCAUGGGAUACACCAAUUCACACUCUAAUUUGAAUCCUGAAUAGCUACUACUCACUUGCUACAGCUCUCAGCAUUUAGUUGUGGCAGAAAAUUAGUUUUGCAAUAACUCUGUGCUUGAAAUGUAUUCUACCUCAGGGGUUCCCAAAACUUUUCCAGGGCAAGGCCCCCCAAAUGGCAUUAACAUUUGGCCGAAGUGCCCCUUUUUCAAGAUGUCUUUAAAACGCAUUAAAAAUACAGACUUCUGAAUAUAUCCCCCCCACACCCUUUUUUUUAUUAUUAAUAAUUACAUCUUUACAUUACAUUAGAUUAGGAAUUGAUUUUGUGUGUGUGUGUGUGUGUGUGUGUGUGGUUGUCUGAGAGUGGAAAAGAAAAAAUCAUGUAUUUAUUUAUUUUUCACACCAAAUUGUUGAGCAAAGGGAAGUGUGGCUUGUUUGAUUUCAUACAGUACAGAUGGAGUUAUUUAAAAAAAUAAAAAUAAAUAAAUAAAAUUAAACAAAAAGUGGAACAGCAAGCCAUUUAGUGAUGUGGAUCGUUAUGAAUUCGCAGACGUGAACCCAUGUUGAGGAAUCAGUGAACAAAUCCAGUCUUAAAUCUUGAUCCUAAAAUUACAACUAGCACAAAUAGCAGUUCCUUAUAUGUAUCAUUUACCUUUAGUGAAAUAUGAGCAUUUAGCUAAAAGUUAAUAUGUUAGUCCUGUAGUGUAUAAUUUUCAUUUAUAUAACACAAUGCAUAGUGGAUGUCUUUUUU
ensembl:lncRNA